rnacentral:rRNA from 1 species
GGGGGAGGAAAGUAGGGGAUCGCAAGACCNNNCGCUAUUUGGAGCGGCCGAUGUCUGAUUAGCUAGUUGGUGGGGUAAAAGCNNNCCAAGGCGACGAUCAGUAGCUGGUUUGAGAGGACGACCAGCCACACUGGGACUGAGACACGGCCCAGACUCCUACGGGAGGCAGCAGUGGGGAAUUUUGGACAAUGGGGGCAACCCUGAUCCAGCCAUGCCGCGUGCGGGAAGAAGGCCUUCGGGUUGUAAACCGCUUUUGUCAGGGAAGAAAUGNNCUUUUUUAAUACAAGAGUUCGAUGACGGUACCUGAAGAAUAAGCACCGGCUAACUACGUGCCAGCAGCCGCGGUAAUACGUAGGGUGCGAGCGUUAAUCGGAAUUACUGGGCGUAAAGCGUGCGCAGGCGGUNU